AUAAUGGCAGCUCCCGAGACAAACACAUGAUGCGAUGCAUCCCAGAUGGGUCAGGAAUGAUCCUGGGACAAGUCAGAACACGGGGCUUCUGGUUUUAUUCCCCACAUUUGGCAGUCACCCCUCUCUGCUCUCGGUUUCCUUAGCUUUAAAAUGGGACUAAAGUGAGAGUGAAGCAAGAAAGUAAAGUGUUUUGAAACCUGCAAAUCAUUAAUCUAAUGGAAGGCAUUAUAAUUUCUCCACUUUCACAUAAUUGGAAAAUGACGCGGGGAGUGGUCAACUGUGGUUUGAAUCAGGUAAUCCUCCUUCUGAGGGAUCCUCGGGUCCAACGUGCCUGCGUCACUCCCCUCACUUCAUCUCCUCACAUAGCCACUUUAUCACCCCAUAUCAUCACAAGAAGGAAGGAAUUCCAAAUAUUACUUAUAAGAAGCCAACUCUAAUCUCUUAAUGACAAAAUGUAUCCCCAACCACUGAGAAUAAGGAUCCCAUGAAGGAUAGCAUUUGCACAUUAGGAUUCUCUGACUGUGACAAGAAGUCUUGAGGGGGAUUCUUAGAUAGAAGAUGACAGAUGCUAUUCUCAUCACAUCAUAUCAACAGUUCUCUCAACUGACAGAGCAAGGAAAUA